AGAUGAGGAAAGGCAGCCACUUUAGCCUGUUGAGAUUCAUCCUAAACCUGAAUAGAGCUUCACCCCGAGGCUCUGGCCAUGAUCGUGACUACACCAUGAGGAGUGGGGACUGCUGAGGACUGCUGCUCUGAAGCGAAGCACCGAAGAACAGACUCACGCCUUGGUGAGCAGCAAUGCAUGUGGACAUAACUAACUAUUUUCACAGAAGUGUUUUAAUUUGGAGUUUACUGGACUCCAGUGUAAAUUGCUUUCUCGGUUGCUAUGGUGCCAUUGAGGUGGAUUGUUGUACGCUGUCAGGGCGGCCUGGCUGCGUUGGACCGGGCUGUGAGGUGGUGGUGGUCUCUGGGUGCUGGUCUAGGCAGAGAGGCAGAGGCAGGAGGAACCUGCAGUGGAGCUGAUGCCCGUGCCUGGCCUUGCCCGGGGGGCGAAGAGGGCCGAGUAGAUAGCAGUUGAGACACUCUGCCCUACAGACACUGGUAGGAGGCAGCCUCUGCAAUGGACAUAGGACAGUUUCCUGUGUGUAUCAACAAUAGUUCACCACCCAAAGGACAUCCAGCCAACUUGACACAACUGAGGGAAGCAUUGGAAUCAACAUGGGCCAGCAUCCCUGUGGAACUUAUUUCGCCACCUUGUAGAGUCCAUGCCCCGACGAAUUGAGGCUGUUCUGAGGGCAAAGGGAUGGGGGUGGGGGUGGGGGGUUUAGGAAGGUGUUCUCAUUGUGUGCUUAGUGAAAUUCAAACG
ensembl:lncRNA